rnacentral:tRNA from 1 species
GCCGGGGUGGCGGAACUGGUAGACGCGCAUGGUUGAGGGCCAUGUGGGAGUUUUCCUGUACGAGUUCAAAUCUCGUCCUCGGCA